GUUCUGGAAUUUGCGAAAUUUAAACAGGCUGGCUUUUCAAGAAUCAAGCCCGAAGGAGUCUUGAAAAGCAAGAUUAAAAUUCGGGAUAAGUAUGUAGAUGCCAGUGUGGAUUAUUUUCGGACGCGGGUUCAACUCCCGCCGCCUCCACCA
rnacentral:tRNA from 1 species